rnacentral:rRNA from 1 species
CGGAGGAAAAGAAACCAACAGGGAUUGCCCCAGUAACGGCGAGUGAAGCGGCAAAAGCUCAAAUUUGAAAUCCUGCGGGAAUUGUAAUUUGAAGGUUUCGUGGUCUGAGUCGGCCGCGCCCAAGUCCAUUGGAACAUGGCGCCUGGGAGGGUGAGAGCCCCGUAUGGCGCACGCCGACUCUUUGUACACCGCGGCUCCGACGAGUCGAGUUGUUUGGGAAUGCAGCUCUAAGUGGGUGGUAAAUUCCAUCUAAAGCUAAAUAUUGGCGAGAGACCGAUAGCGAACAAGUACAGUGAUGGAAAGAUGAAAAGCACUUUGAAAAGAGAGUGAAACAGCACGUGAAAUUGUUGAAAGGGAAGGGCUUGCAAGCAGACACGGUUUUACCGGGCCAGCGUCGAAAAGGGGGGAGGAACAAGAACUCGAGAAUGUGGCGCGCACCUUCGGGCGCGCGUGUUAUAGCUCGUGUUGACGCCUCCAUCCCUUUUCGAGGCCUGCGAUUCUAGGACGCUGGCGUAAUGGUUGCAAGCCGCCCGUCUUG